UACAGAGGGUGCGAGCGUUAAUCGGAAUUACUGGGCGUAAAGCGUGCGUAGACGGUAAUGUAAGUCAGAUGUGAAAAGCCCCCGGGCUCAACCUGGGAAUUGCAUUUGAGACUGCAUUGCUUGGGGUGCGGAAGAGGGAAGCGGAAUUUCCGGUGUAGCGGUGAAAUGCGUAGAUAUCGGAAGGAACACCAGUGGCGAAAGCGGCUUCCUGGUCCGACACCGACGUUCAGGCACGAAAGCGUGGGGAGCAAACAGG
rnacentral:rRNA from 1 species